rnacentral:rRNA from 1 species
GCUGGCGGCCCCCUUACACAUGCAAGUCGAACGGCAGCAUGGGAGCUUGCUCCUGAUGGCGAGUGGCGAACGGGUGAGUAAUAUAUCGGAACGUGCCCUAAAGUGGGGGAUAACUAGUCGAAAGACUAGCUAAUACCGCAUACGAUCUACGGAUGAAAGUGGGGGAUCGCAAGACCUCAUGCUCCUGGAGCGGCCGAUAUCUGAUUAGCUAGUUGGUGGGGUAAAAGCCUACCAAGGCGACGAUCAGUAGCUGGUCUGAGAGGACGACCAGCCACACUGGGACUGAGACACGGCCCAGACUCCUACGGGAGGCAGCAGUGGGGAAUUUUGGACAAUGGGGGCAACCCUGAUCCAGCAAUGCCGCGUGAGUGAAGAAGGCCUUCGGGUUGUAAAGCUCUUUUGUCAGGGAAGAAACGGUAGUAGCUAAUAUCUAUUACUAAUGACGGUACCUGAAGAAUAAGCACCGGCUAACUACGUGCCAGCAGCCGCGGUAAUACGUACGGUGCAAGCGUUAAUCGGAAUUACUGGGCGUAAA